AGGGGGGUCUAUAUAAACCCCACGAGUCUGCCCUAAAGGUCUUGUUUGGCUGCCUCUUAUUUUCGUCGUCUUUCCCCCCUGCUUCCUCCCUCAGCUGAAUCUUGCUGGUGGUGCCCGGAGCGAUUUCCGGCAAUGUCCAGUAGGUUUUUUUCCUGUUUUCACUAGGGUUUCCUCUUUUCUCCUCCUCGUCAACUUCCAUUUUCUACUCU
rnacentral:lncRNA from 1 species